rnacentral:rRNA from 1 species
GGACUACCAGGGUAUCUAAUCCCGUUCGCUCCCCUAGCUUUCGCGUCUCAGCGUCAGAAGACGUCCAGGACCUCGCUUUCGCCACGGGCGUUCCAUCCGAUCUCAACGCAUUUCACCGCUCCACCGGAUGUUCCAGGUCCCCCUACGUCCCUCCAGACAGGGCGUUUCGGUGCCCGUUCCCCGGUUGAGCCGGGGGAUUUCAGCGACCGACGUCCCUAUCCGCCUACACGCGCUUUAAGCCCAGUGAUUCCGAAUAACGUUCGCACGGUUCGUCUUACCGCGGCUGCUGGCAC